rnacentral:rRNA from 1 species
UAGUUUUUUUAGAAAUAAAUUUAAUUUACAGAUUUUUGAUUUUUUGGUUAUUUAUUUAAUUAAAAAAUUUAUUAAUUUGAAUAUCUUAAGGGAUAAGCUUUAAGAUAAAUUAUUAAAAAUUAAUAAUGGUGAUAUAAAAUAUAUGCUUAGAAUUAGCAAUUAUUUAAAAGUUUGUUAUAAAUUAUUUUAUAGAUUAUAUUAUUUAUUAUAUUUUAAUUUAUUUAUAAAAAUUUUUUUAUUAAUUAAGUAUAAAAAGUAAUAAUGAUAGAAUUAGUAUAUUUUUUUUGUUUAUGUAAUUUUAUAUGAUAAGUUUGUAUAAAGAACUCGGCAAAAAUUUUACCCGCCUGUUUAACAAAAACAUGUCUUUUUGAGUUAUUUUUAAAGUCUGACCUGCCCACUGAAAUUAUUUAAAUGGCCGCAGUAUUCUAACUGUGCAAAGGUAGCAUAAUCAUUAGUCUUUUAAUUGAAG